CCUACGGGUGGCAGCAGUGAGGAAUAUUGGUCAAUGGACGAGAGUCUGAACCAGCCAAGUAGCGUGAAGGAUGACUGCCCUAUGGGUUGUAAACUUCUUUUAUAUGGGAAUAAAAUGUUCCACGUGUGGGAUUUUGUAUGUACCAUAUGAAUAAGGCUCGGCUAACUCCGUGCCAGCAGCCGCGGUAAUACGGAGGAUCCGAGCGUUAUCCGGAUUUAUUGGGUUUAAAGGGAGCGUAGGUGGAUUGUUAAGUCAGUUGUGAAAGUUUGCGGCUCAACCGUAAAAUUGCAGUUGAAACUGGCAGUCUUGAGUACAGUAGAGGUGGGCGGAAUUCGUGGUGUAGCGGUGAAAUGCUUAGAUAUCACGAAGAACUCCGAUUGCGAAGGCAGUUCACUGGACUGCAACUGACACUGAGGCUCGAAAGUGUGGGUAUCAAACAGGAUUAGAUACCCUAGUAGUC
rnacentral:rRNA from 1 species